rnacentral:rRNA from 1 species
UAGGGAAUCUUCCACAAUGGGCGAAAGCCUGAUGGAGCAACGCCGCGUGUGUGAUGAAGGGUUUCGGCUCGUAAACACUGUUGUAAGAGAAGAAUGACAUUGAGAGUAACUGCUCAAUGUGUGACGGUAUCUUACCAGAAAGGAACGGCUAAAUACGUGCCAG